ensembl:lncRNA
UGAAAGAGCCCUUCUCAAGGAACUUUCUGCAGGAGUGUGUGGAUGGCGGGGGGAGAGGCACAAAGAAAUGACCAAGCGAGGAGUGAGCCCUCUGGGAGAGCAAAGCUUGCCAGCUGGGAGACAGGAGAAAGCAGCCAGGAACCUCCGAGGGGAGUGGAGAUGGACAAGGAGCCUGGCUGGGGCGGCACUAAGUCUGCUGCAAGCCAGCCAGCCCCUGAGCUGGUGAACUGGAACCAGCCUGGGAGAAAGGACAUGACCGUGGAGACAGGGAAGUCUCUCAGAGGAAAGGCGUGGGUUGUAUCAACUGGAAGGAGAAUAUCAAACUCCAUCUGCCCCAGCUGUGAUAACCGUCUUGCAGCCAAUUGUGGCACAGAACAAGAGUUAGGGACUGAGACCCUAAGGAACAUAUUUGAAAUGCUGCCAAUUUAGCCAGUUUCCUCCUACUCCUGAAUUAAGCUGCAAACUUGUCAAUGAAAAAGCUGGAUAGUAUGGAAGCCCAGUAAAAUGUGAGCUGGAAAAGUAGUGUUACCAUGGCUUAUCAGAAAUCGAAGAGUACGUCCCAUUGAUCUAUCAUAAAGGUCAUUUAAGAGUACUUCCUUUCUUUCAGAUGGGAAAAGGAGGCUUAAAAAAAGUCAAACUCAGGCACCCAAGGCCUAUUGCAGCCACGUUGCCCUUGCCUCAGGGAUGAGCUGUCUGUGGACAGCUGGCCCCUAGCUUUACAUCUUAAAAACAGUGGAAACUACGCCUACAAUUUUACUUUACUUUAGUCCUGCGGCUUCAUUUAAAUGUAUAUGAGAUCUAAAUACAAUCUUCCACUGUGAGCUUUGUAGCAUGGAUGCUCUGUAUGGCUUCUUUAUGUCAUGUUAGUACAAAGUGACAGUAAUCCAUGACUGAAUACUCUUGAUAAAGACUCAUGAAAUAGGAGACAAAAGUUCCUGGUAAAGUAUUACCUCUUGUUCUAUGUGCAACAAUUUUAUCUGAUCUUCUAACUCAUGCUUCAUGAGCAAUAGUGAGUAAAUUAUCAGAUUUCUCUACAGCUCUGUCUGGACCACACUGAUUAUGAUCUCUUCUUGUGAUGAUAACUCUUCCAAAGCAGCUGCAACCCUUCACUGCAAAGCUUACCAUAUACUUUCCAACUACUUGAUACAUCCACUGUCUGACUAAUAAUCCUGGGUGCCUGGCUAUGAAUAUUACAUGUUGGUCAUAAAUCCUUCUUACUAUCUUUUUUUGCUUUAAUGUCACUUGGACAGCAGUAGCUAAAACCUUAGUUUCUUUUUUUACCGUCUCUUUUGUAAUUUGUCUCAUAUUCUACUUAAAAUAUACCACCUGCUUUUAAUUAAUAUUUUAGAAAAAAUAUGUCUGUAUAUUUCUUUUCUGUUUUACCUUCUUUACAAAACCUGUCUGUAUGAAAAGAAUACACCUGAUGUGAUUUAAGAAAUUCCUUCCAUUACCGGUCACUCCCUUACGUACCUCAAAUAUUUUUUAUCAUUAUAUAUUCCUAUUUUGUACAGCUCUUGAUGUCUUCUUGCUAAGCCAAGUAUCCCUUCCAGUGGCCUCUCUUCUAUUAACAAGAUGAAUGCAUAGUAGAAGUCCAGUACAGCUGCUGAUCUGCAAGGCCUGCCCCAUAGGCCAUUAUCAGACAGCAGCAGGCCGUUGCUCCAAGGGGUUAGAACCUGCACACUUUCACUUCUCUCUCAAGUGUUUCUACUGAAGUCCCAGUUCCCUGGGGUUAAAUGCCAAACAAAAAUGCCAGCUUUCCUCUGAUGAAUGUAUCUAACUGUCAUGGGUAUGCAGGAAAAGUCUGAAACACAAGUUGUUAUAAAAGUACACAAGCCAGAAAACAGCUAUAAUGCCUACAUUUUUUGUAACAUCUUGGAGAACUCAGGAUUUUCUAAGGUAACAGACAAUACUAUGUCCUUGGCAGAAAUUUCUGGAGGUCAGUUUGGAGCCAAGUGCAGCAAAUGAUUAUCUGUGGCUGUUCCUUCUACUGGUGCCUGUGGACUUCAAAGAAAAAAAAAAAAUCAAGGCCUGGAUUCCUGAAGAAGUGCUGAGAGGGAGCCUUUCAGAUGGACAUGGAACAAAGUGGAUAUGACACGGCCUGGGAAGAGCAAGACAGAGCUUAUGUUGAUCAAGAAGAGAAGACACUUUGCCUAUUGGUAUCUUCUGUAAGUCUCUUGCACCACCAAAUUUUGAGGGAGCUGGAGCAAGAAAAGCAACAGAAAAUGUAAUUCUGCAGCAUUGCUGUAAAGAAUAAGUUGACACUUCGCUGAACAUGAGACAGCAGUGUGCUCAGGUGGCCAAGAAGGCCACUGGCACCCUGGCUUCUAUCAGAAAUACUGUUGCCAGCAGGAGCAGGGAGGUGAUCAUCCCUUUAUACUCAGCACUGCUGAGUGAAAGCUGUCACUACCAACUGCAUAGCAGUCUUAUGGACCAUCCAGUUCUGUGAUGAAGCGUAAUUUCACAUUAAACUGUGGGUCUGGCUGGAGAUGACAAAUGGAGCACUAACUAGUUCCACCACCAUCACAGCAUUCUUCUACCCAGCUACCAGCAUGAGGCUCCUAUAAAGAGCCACAGAAUCAGAAUUUUUUUCUCCACUUUUCUCCAGAAGCAUUUGAGGACUUCUGCAGGACUCCCUGUGCACUGGAAUCCUUAUGGUUCAACCUUAGACAAUACACAGCAAGAGUGUAACUCUCAGAACCAUUAAAAGAAGUUCAAAAAGUCAUAAUGAAGAUUUGAUAUCAAAUUGUUUUAUAGCCGGCUGCUGAAUAUCUAAAGGUGCUUAUAUUGUUCCAGUUAGCUUAAUUAUUUUUUCACUUUACCCUUCUGUUAUUAUUAUAACCAUGUGUG